rnacentral:rRNA from 1 species
GAUUUACCUUGUUACGACUUCACCCCAGUCGCUGACUAUACCGUGGUCAAGGGUUUAAAACCUUGCCUUAAGGUAGAACCAACUCCCAUGGUGUGACGGGCGGUGUGUACAAGACCCGGGAACGCAUUCACCGUGGCACGCUGAUCCACGAUUACUAGUAAUUCCAGCUUCAUGCACUCGAGUUGCAGAGUGCAAUCCGAACUGAGGUAUUUUUUAAGGAUUUGCUAAACGUCGCCGUCUUGCUUCCUGUUGUAAAUACCAUUGUAGCACGUGUGUAGCCCAACACGUAAGGGCCAUGAGGACUUGACGUCAUCCCCACCUUCCUCCAGCUUAUCACUGGCAGUUCUUUCAGAGUGCCCAACUAAAUGAUGGCAACUAAAAGUGAGGGUUGCGCUCGUUGCGGGACUUAACCCAACAUCUCACGACACGAGCUGACGACAGCCAUGCAGCACCUGUGUUUCGUCCGGCCGAACCGAAAACUUUAAUCUCUUAAAGUCGCGACGAACAUGUCAAGUGUUGGUAAGGUUCUGCGCGUAUCUUCGAAUUAAACCACAUGCUCCACUACUUGUGCGGGUCCCCGUCAAUUCAUUUGAGUUUUAACCUUGCGGUCGUACUCCCCAGGCGGUGUGUUUAUUGCUUUCGCUGCGACACUGAAAAUAAAUUUCCAACGUCUAACACACAUCGUUC